GCACUCACUUUAGCAGCACAUAUACUAAAAUUGGAGCAACACAAAGAUUAUUAUGGUCCCUGAGCAAAGAUGACAGGCAAAUUUCAUGGAGGUAUUCCAUAUUUUU